UUGUGAAAAUAAUGCGGAAAAGCAUUCCGCUUUUGACCUAUUUUAACGUUGAAGGGGGUUAAGCAAAAAGUCCAAAAAGACACGAAUUUUAAACUGAGUUACAAAACAAAGUUUGUAAUUUGGCAAAGUGCAUCAAUUUCAAUUAGAAUAAAAUAAGUUGGCUUGGGACCAAAUGGAAUAUUUCGAUAUUAUUUAGUUUCCUAUUUAAGCUUUAAAAAUAGGUGUAGCGAUAUGCAGUUGUCGGUUGAGCCACUCUAUGUUUUGUAGCCAAAUGAUUACUUUGAGUGCGAGUGUGGUAGCUGGAAAUGAAGACCAAUUCUGGCACACUCAAUAACAAAGCGAAAAAUGUUUUCAUGACAAAAACCGAGAGGCAAAAAAAAAAAUACAAGAACGCAAUCGAAAUCGAGUUUUAUUCUCAGGCCAUUUGCCAUUCCCAGAAUCCAAACUAACAACAUUGACUCAAGUCCCAAAAAAAAAAGAUGGAACUGAAACUAAACCCUCCCAAGCUAACUAAUCUUUUUUCAGGGAUUUCCUUUUUCCCCCUUUUACCCAUUUUACCAGUUUUGUGUGUGUGUUGCUGCCAAUCCGAGCGACCAAAACGAAAAUGUCAUCAUCAGCAGAGCUUCGGUCAGAGAAUAGUGGAGAAAGCAAACGGACUGGGAACUAUACACGUUUAUAUAUAUGUACAUACAUAUAUACUGCCACUCAACGUAACUUUUUAUGUGCAACAUAGCAGAAUGAUUGUGUUCCGUUCCAGAAAUAUCAGCACAACAAGCACGGCAACAACUCCGGCCACAGCAACAACAUCUUAAGCCGUUUCGCAUAAAAUUUCACACACCAUUUUAGCCAAGUGCCACAUUACCUGCACACAAGAUGGGACUCGACUCGCCCCCUGCCUCGAAUGUCCUGUGAACCAAACCAAACCAAACCAAGCCAAGCCGAGCCAAGCCAAGGAGAAAGAAAAAUAAAACGUUGGAAAAAUGCUGGAAAACACGAAACUGAACGUAAAAAAUACCUUUUGACACAUGCAAGCAGAACCAAAUGGGGGCGUGGCCAGAGCCAAAAGUGUUGGCCAGCUGAGCAGAGCGGGCGAAAAGGCUCAAAAUCGGCGGACAGGCAAGAACUGAAAUGGCGCCAGCCAAACGAGCUGAAAGGAAAAGGAAAAUCUUGAAAAUUGCAUUUUAAGAAGAACUUCGUGUGGCUAUCAGGAAAAAAUCUAUAAAAACACAUACCUAAACAUGUAAGGGCUUAUAUAGCCAUGUAUAUAUAUGUACAUACAUCUGUGGCAAAAUCCGACUGAAUGCAGACGAAAUGGAAAAAGGAUACAGGGAAGCUCAAUCUGGCAGUGACUUGGGGCCACAAUAGCCAUUCGGUUAUCCAGUCGGUCAGCAAAGCAUCCAGGACCAAUCCAAUACAAUUUUAACGGUAAUGUGGUCCAAAAGCAAGCGAUGGCGAAAUUGAUAUGGCCACCAAAAUGGUGAACAGUGAGCAUUCACAUUUAGCUGAGGUACAGAUGCAAACGAAAGCAUCACGUAUACGCCCCAUAAACAGUGACGCUAAAAGUAUCCGAAGGGCGGAAUGGCUCUGAAUGCCCUUGAAACAUUGUUCGAAUUUGCAUUUUAAAAAUAAAACAAAUAUAAAAACGGGUGGGAUGUUAUUUGGCCGUGGAGAUCACAUGUUUUACUGGCAAAAUUAACUUUAUUUAUUUAUCCCGUUAAUCUGCUUGCAAUAAUAAAUAUAAUAUACAAGUCUGUAAGUACGGAUAUUUGCGAAGAUAAAAAAAUAAUCUACCAUGAAAUGCCAUCUUGUUUGAGUACCAAGUGCGUUGCCAUAGCAAUUUCCACUUCCACUCCAAGACAACCAGCUCUGGCAGAAAUCUAAAUCCUGGAGCGCGAAAACUGAGCGCCAACACAGAACUACAGAAUUAUGGCAGCAAAUUGCAAACAAACAAGCAACAAACAAGUGAAUCACCUUUAACGCUUCCUAUGCACUUUUUGGUCUUUCGCCCAGCCACUUCGCCUCUAUCCUUUUUCCGGCCAAAGGAUCUUGGGCGCGUCAGGGGUGGGGCCAAGGGGUAGGCGCGCCGCACAAUGGGCAGGAGGCGUGGCAGGUUUUGUCAUAACUUCCACAGGCUUCGGGCGCAGGGAAAGAACGAGGAAUGACAAAAACUGCACACAGAGCUAGCAUCAGACAGGUUGAACAGCUAAAGACCGAGACAUGCAUGUCAAAGGACAAGGAAAUCUAUGAGUGUGGCAGAUACUACACAGAAAGAAAUAAGUACCCGAUGGCCGCUUGUGAGGCGAUUGGAAAAUGGCACCUCUAUUGAUAGAAAAGCCUUUCUAAACAAAAUAUACAUUUAUCUUUUUCUUCUUUUGUAAAGAAAAAAUGAUUACAAUGAAAUUCUUUUCAAAUCUUCAAAUUUUUAAUGCAAAUCUCAAUUUCAUUAAAGAAGUAUCCCUUCUUUCGCAGUGUGUUUUCGAGUGUAUUUCCGUUUGUGUGCGUUGCUUAACACUCAAAAGCGGAAGUAAGCGGCAUGUGCUGCGGUCGAGGAUGAGCGGAGUGAAAGGAGUGAAAGGAGCAAAGGGAGCCAAAGGAGUGAAAGGGGCCAACGGGAGGGAGAGUGAGGCGGGACAGGAAGCAGGCUGAAGUUUGUUUUCUUGCGGCCUCGUGACUGGCACUUCUGUCUGCUGCUGCUGGUGCUGCUGCUGCUGGUGCUGCUGCUACUUCUGCUGCAGUGACAGCAAAAACCAAGAAGAGACAGCCGCACGGCAGCCCACGAACUCGAAGAUGGCAGCAGGUGGAGGGAGGGAUAAAGCCGGCAGGACGAAGGUGCUGCAAGGCAAACGGAACAGGACAGGUGUGCUGUACGCUGUACGCUGUACCAACCGACACAAAAAUAUCACUUUAAAGUUUGCCACUGAGUCCUGUCGUCUGUGUUGGUUUUUGACAUGAAAUUGCAUUACAUUUCACACGGAAACAAGUUGGGUGUUGCAAUGAGUUGGCUCUGCACUUUUGAACAUUGUCUUAUUUUUGUGCCAACUGUCGUUUGGUUUCUCGAGUGAAGUGUACAAAUUAGUUGCCCUUGUCACAGGCAACAGAAACAGCAGAACAGCAGAACAACAGUAACAACAACUCACUCUUGGCCGGCAUCCUUAAGCUACUUUUCAUCGAUCCGCUCAGCAAUUACGUGCAGCGUUCUCUCUACGGAAACAAUUUAUCAGACUGGGCAAACGAGCCAAGCUGCUUUCCUCGCAGCCGAAGGAAACAAAAAAUCGAGAGAAGAAACACGAAAACAAGGACUCCGGCCACUUUUACCAAGCAGAAUGUAUGCCCAAAGUGCAUGGUAAAGUAAAUUUUAUUUAACGGCAGCAACAAACAAACAAAGUGGAGAACACUUGCACCAGGAGUUAUGGUUGGAAAUUUGAGAUACUCUUUAAGAAUGCCACUGCUCGAAGGCAAGAAAUACUUGGAAAAUGGGUUAUUUUCGUUUAUAAUUUGGUUCCCCGUUUUCUUAUUUAAUUGCAAACAAACAGUGGCAUAGGACUUAGGAUAUUGCGAAUCCUAUCCUACCGAUGGGUAUUAUUUAUUACUCAUAAACCAAAGAAAAAUGUAUAUUUUGUAGACUCCACUUACCUUUGAAAACCAAGGUCCCCCAAGCAAUGUGUAGGUAAAUUGGUGUGUCCAGACUUUAAUCAACUACCGACUAAACGGGGCCUUGAACUGCGUGGGUAAAGGGCCAAACGGCAAAGGAAAACACGACCUGGGGCCAAUGAACCAUAUUAGGGAACGCCCACGCCGGGAAUAUAUGCAGAUGUAUAUGGGUAUGUAAAAGUACUAUAUAUUGAAUGGAUCGCAACCCGUGCCAGUGCACUCACCUCAUUCGGUUGCUGCCAAAUCGUCACAUCAUUACUUAUAGUCCGGCAAAAUAUAGUGCUUUGUGUCGGGCUGAGCCUAAAAAUAGACUGACUCUGGCCAAAUUGAAAACGUUUCGGCUAAAAUGCACUUAACGAGCCAGCCUAACCGCGCAAGAGAUCCAGCUCCCCAGAUCCCCUGAUCCCCGCCAGCGCCUGGCCAUUGACUGACAGGCUCCAGUGUUGAAAUUUAUUGUGCUAAGCAAACGGCCAAUUUACCAAACUGCAAUUGUCGGCGGAAGCGCAAGAAGAAGUAGAAGGAAGCAUUGUCGGUUGCAAGGAGCUGGAAAGGAGGUGGAAGGUGGAAAGAAGUGCGCUGUGUCUAAUCGUUGCGCUAAAUUAACACGUAUACGCCAUGUGGCUGGCCAGGAUUUCUGUCUGCUUGGCAGUCGCGGAGAUUCGGCUUCGUUGCUUGCAUUUCUAGGCGGUGAAUGUUUUUCUUUUGCAACUCUUUUUGAGCACGAAAGUGGAGUUAUAAUAGCGUACACUCUAAAUCCUACUAAUUAGGCACAAUAUACACGAAUUUGAAGCCAGCUCGAUUAUAAAAUAUAUGUACAUAUGUGGGUCUGGUGAUUAAAACAACAAUUAAAGUUAAUUAUAAUGAGUUAA